GAUCAUGGCUCAGAUUGAACGCUGGCGGCAUGCCUUACACAUGCAAGUCGAACGGUAACAGGUCUUCGGACGCUGACGAGUGGCGAACGGGUGAGUAAUACAUCGGAACGUGCCCAGUCGUGGGGGAUAACUACUCGAAAGAGUAGCUAAUACCGCAUACGAUCUGAGGAUGAAAGCGGGGGACCUUCGGGCCGUCGCGCGAUGGAGCGGCCGAUGGCAGAUUAGUAGUUGGUGGGNGUAAAG
rnacentral:rRNA from 1 species